GUGCUCACUUACGCAGCACAUCUACUAAAAUUGGAAUGCUACAGAUUCGAUUAGCAUGGCCCCUGUAUAAGCAUGACACACAAAUGCGUGAAGCAUUCCAUAUUUAA
ensembl:snRNA U6 U6 spliceosomal RNA